GUAUAUAUUGCGUGGCAUCUCAAUUUAGAGCGAUCAGUUAAAAUGUUGAAAUAUAUUUACGCAACUUUGAUAUUUUCUGCGAUUUUUCUCGUAGUGGCAAAUGCACAAGCUUUGGUUUGUUCACCGCUAGAUAUGCAGGUGAAAGUUUUUGAAACUGUCUGCGAGCCCAAUUGUGCACCGAGAGUACCGGCAAGAACGUGCUUUAGCCUGUCAAGACCAGCGACGAUCGCUAUGUGUCCGCCACUCUGUUGUCGGGAUAGUAAUGGCGAAUGUGUGGCAACUGUGAGAAUUGGUUAAUUGGGAGCAGUGCUGGAAUUUAUAUUGAGUUGAAUGUGAUGUCAAGAAGAAGAAGAGAGAAUAAAUGUUUUUCUUAACAUAAUGUACUUUUGCAUAAAGUUUUGAGUUCAGUGAGGGUGUCAGGGAAUGAGAAUAGAACGCUAAAGUGUAAGCGAAUUUCCUGAUGCUAAAGUAAUUAUUGUGUUGAAUAAUUUCUUUAGUAACGGCCAAAAACGAUUGGAAAAUCUAAGAGACUACAUAUGUGGGUCCUCUUCUAUCAUCUCACCAUAAACUUACAUAUUUUAAUCGUUAUGUUAUUCUGGUGCCCAUAAGUUGCCAAGGAUCGGUUGAAGAGACUUUUAAAUAUUAAAGGGGAACAAUAACUAAACUUCUAAAGAAUAAGUGAGGUUAUUAAAAGAAAUGCUAAAUCUAAAUGGUUCUAAGUGAUAACUUUAAUAACUGGGGAGCAUCAUUCGAGAAGAAUUUUGUAUAAAACAGUAACCGAUCAAAUUUUACCCAGACUGAUCAUUUUACACUACGCGCACAAACGGAAUCGAUAAUUUGUUUUUCUUAUAUUGGUACUAACUUUUUUAUGGUCGUUUCAUAUUCUUAUGUCAAUUACAAUGUGUUUGGCUCAAAAAAUUUGUGUGUAUAUUUUUCCACGAAAAAACUGAACAACGAGUUUGCUUGAAAUUUUGUGUCCAAUGGAAUCACUAUUGUACGAAAUUUCAUAGAAGGACCAGUAUCUUUUAUAAAAACGUCAUCUUUAGAGAUAACAAAUUAGGUGCUUGACAACGUAGCUGAGAAUCCCACAUUCAACAAAUGCCUCAUUACUGUUCACGAGGUAUGGGUUUAUGAUUAAAAAAGUCUAAGCUGUUCAACAACGUUCCAAAAACGAGCGAAAAGCAAAAAUUACAAAAAUAUGUCAAGUGCCAAAAGCCCACCUCAGCCGAGGCUUACAAAAAGUGUACGCAAAUUGGAUUAAUCUUUGGCAUGCUUCUAUUAUAUUAGAUCAGAAGCCAAUUUUGAAGGUGAUAAUAAAGAUUUGUAUUAAAAUACGUGAAAAAGUAGUUUUAUUUGUGUCAGUCCGUGUAAAAUUUGAUAAAAUUUUUCAGGUGAAUGAUAAAUAUAUGGAUUAAUCACAAUAAUAAAUGAAUGGUGAAGGAACAAUCACAUCAGCCAAUUUAUAAAUAAAUGGUACCAAAAGCUAAAACAAGCAGAAGAAAAUUCAGGCAAGCUCUCAGCCACAGCUGUUUUGGAUGCGAAAAUGCCUUUCAGGUUGAUUACUACGGGCAGAGUUAUACAAAAGCUGAAUAAUUUCAUACGGUAGAAAAGACUUUGACUUUUAUUCUUUUUAUUGACAAAUUACUUCCGCUUCAUUUCACGUAUAAAAAGCGAGUAAGCCAAUCUACAAUAUUUCAGUACAAAAUAUUGCGGCUUGACCACCACACUUGAAAAUAAUGAAACUUUUCUGCGAAACUAUCAUUUUGUUAGUUUUAAGUCUGGCUUUAAUUCAAGCACAAAGAACUCCAAAUUGUCAACUUCAACGAACAUUUUUUUUAAAGAAGGGUCAUCGCGUCUGUAUACCCUAUUGCCCACCAAAAGGAACCACUUGUAUAACGGCUGAUCGUCCCAUGCAAAUACAAUCUUGCACCGCUGGAUGUUGCCGCUCGGGCAAUAGAUGCAUUCCCGUCAGGAGGGGUUAGUGAUCGGGAUUAACGAAAAUGCAGAAGUGCAUAUACAGAUGUAUACGUAAAAGUGUAAAAUGUCUUUAAAGGAUGCAAUAAAUAUUUCCUUAAAUAAAUAAAUAAAUUGCUGAAUAU